UACGGAGGGGGCUAGCGUUGUUCGGAAUUACUGGGCGUAAAGCGCACGUAGGCGGCUUUGUAAGUUAGAGGUGAAAGCCUGGAGCUCAACUCCAGAACUGCCUUUAAGACUGCAUCGCUUGAAUCCAGGAGAGGUGAGUGGAAUUCCGAGUGUAGAGGUGAAAUUCGUAGAUAUUCGGAAGAACACCAGUGGCGAAGGCGGCUCACUGGACUGGUAUUGACGCUGAGGCUGCGAA
rnacentral:rRNA from 1 species